rnacentral:rRNA from 1 species
CAGAAGCCGCAGGGCGCUUAUGGGCAUUCUGAGUUCAGGGCGACGCUGUAGGGCGCACCAAUGGGGGCAGCCGGAUUGACUCCGCUAGGCACGGCGAAUUAUCGAAAUGAUAGAACCCAGUCUAAACGGCUCCGUUUAAACCUCGAAAAGGCGGCAGCCGUCCGCCCCCGUAUCCGGGUCAAUGUGCCAUUUUUUGGCUAAGCUUGUAGUUAUUUUAACCUCUGGAAAUCUCACGGUUAAUGUGGAGGUUUAAGAGUUCUGGAAUUUAGGGCCCUAAGAUUCGAGGUACUUCAGGGGUGAAAGGAAAUUUUUAAUCCUGAGGACCACCGAUGGCGAAGGCAUCUAACAAGAACGGCUUCGACACCCCGCAACGAAAGCUGGGGGAGCGAACGGGAUUAGAUACCCCGGUAGUGGAGGGGGGGCCCCCAUGCGCGUUAGGAGAAAAAGAGAACUACGAGUUACCGGUUUUUUUUUUUUUUCGCGUGAAACGUGCCGCCUGGGAAGUACGGUCGCAAGGCUGAAACUUAAAGGAAUUGGCGGGGGAGAGCCGGGGAGGGUGGAGCCUGCGGUUUAAUUGGACUCAACGCCGGGCAGCUCACCGGAUAGGACAGCGGAAUGAUAGCCGGGCUGAAGACCUUGCUUGACCAGCUUUGAGGAGGUGCAUGGCCGUCGUCAGUUCGUACUGUGAAGCAUCCUGUUUAGUCUGCCUUCUAGCGAGCCCUAAUCUUUUUCCCCCCCGACUUUCUGCUCGAAUUCACUCCCGUUGUUCAC